rfam:Schistosoma mansoni strain Puerto Rico chromosome W, complete genome
ACCCAGCUGACGAGUCCCAAAUAGGACGAAACGUGCGUCCUGGAU